rnacentral:rRNA from 1 species
AGAUUGAACGCUGGCGGCAGGCCUAACACAUGCAAGUCGAACGAACUCUUCGGAGUUAGUGGCGGACGGGUGAGUAACACGUGGGAACGUGCCUUUAGGUUCGGAAUAACUCAGGGAAACUUGUGCUAAUACCGAAUGUGCCCUUCGGGGGAAAGAUUUAUCGCCUUUAGAGCGGCCCGCGUCUGAUUAGCUUGUUGGUGGGGUAAUGGCCCACCAAGGCUACGAUCAGUAGCUGGUCUGAGAGGAUGACCAGCCACAUUGGGACUGAGACACGGCCCAAACUCCUACGGGAGCAGCAGUGGGGAAUCUUGCGCAAUGGGCGAAAGCCUGACGCAGCCAUGCCGCGUGUAUGAUGAAGGUCUUAGGAUUGUAAAAUACUUUCACCGGUGAAGAUAAUGACUGUAGCCGGAGAAGAAGCCCGGCUAACUCGUGCCAGCAGCCGC